rnacentral:rRNA from 1 species
UAGGGAAUCUUCCACAAUGGACGCAAGUCUGAUGGAGCAACGCCGCGUGAGUGAAGAAGGUCUUCGGAUCGUAAAACUCUGUUGUUAGAGAAGAACACGAGUGAGAGUAACUGUUCAUUCGAUGACGGUAUCUAACCAGCAAGCCACGGCUAACUACGUGCCAG